GCCAGUGUGGCAUAGUGGUUAGGGUGUCGGACUAGGAUUUGGGAAAGAUCAGGGUUCAAAUCUCUCCCACUUAAGCCA